AGGAGCUGCCGCAGGCUGCGAUCUUUUGCUCUUGUUUUUAGAUCAAGAUCAACAGAUCGCAGCCUGCGGCAGCUCCU
rnacentral:misc_RNA from 1 species